rnacentral:rRNA from 1 species
AACGAACGCUGGCGGCAUGCCUAACACAUGCGAGUCGAACGAGACCUUCGGGUCUAGUGGCGCACGGGUGCGUAACGCGUGGGAACCUGCCCUUAGGUUCGGAAUAACUCACCGAAAGGGGUGCUAAUACCGGAUAAUGUCUUCGGACCAAAGAUUUAUCGCCUUUGGAUGGGCCCGCGUUGGAUUAGCUAGUUGGUAGGGUAAAAGCCUACCAAGGCGACGAUCCAUAGCUGGUCUGAGAGGAUGAUCAGCCACACUGGGACUGAGACACGGCCCAGACUCCUACGGGAGGCAGCAGGGGGGAAUAUUGGACAAUGGGCGAAAGCCUGAUCUAGCAAUGCCGCGUGAGUGAUGAAGGCCUUAGGGUUGUAAAGCUCUUUUAACCGGGAUGAUAAUGACAGUACCGGGAGAAUAAGCGCCGGCUAACUCCGUG